GCCAGACUCCUACGGGAGGCAGCAGUGGGGAAUAUUGCACAAUGGGGGGAACCCUGAUGCAGCGACGCCGCGUGGGUGAAGGAGCGUUUCGGCGCGUAAAGCCCUAUCGGCAGGGAAGAAGGAGGACGGUACCUGACUAAGAAGCCCCGGCUAACUACGUGCCAGCAGCCGCGGUAAUACGUAGGGGGCAAGCGUUAUCCGGAUUUACUGGGUGUAAAGGGGGCGCAGACGGCAGCGCAAGCCAGGAGUGAAAGCCCGGGGCCCAACCCCGGGACUGCUCUUGGAACUGCGCGGCUGGAGUGCAGGAGGGGCAGGCGGAAUUCCUGGUGUAGCGGUGAAAUGCGUAGAUAUCAGGAGGAACACCGGUGGCGAAGGCGGCCUGCUGGACUGCGACUGACGUUGAGGCCCGAAAGCGUGGGGAGCAAACAGGAUUAGAUACCCCCGUAU
rnacentral:rRNA from 1 species